rnacentral:rRNA from 1 species
GAUGAACGCUGGCGGCGUGCUUAACACAUGCAAGUCGAACGGUGAAGCAGGAGCUUGCUCUUGUGGAUCAGUGGCGAACGGGUGAGUAACACGUGAGCAACCUGCCCCUGACUCUGGGAUAAGCGCUGGAAACGGCGUCUAAUACUGGAUAUGUGAUGUGACCGCAUGGUCUGCAUCUGGAAAAAAUUUCGGUUGGGGAUGGGCUCGCGGCCUAUCAGCUUGUUGGUGAGGUAAUGGCUCACCAAGGCGUCGACGGGUAGCCGGCCUGAGAGGGUGACCGGCCACACUGGGACUGAGACACUGCCCAGACUCCUACGGGAGGCAGCAGUGGGGAAUAUUGCACAAUGGGCGGAAGCCUGAUGCAGCAACGCCGCGUGAGGGAUGACGGCCUUCGGGUUGUAAACCUCUUUUAGCAGGGAAGAAGCGAAAGUGACGGUACCUGCAGAAAAAGCACCGGCUAACUACGUGCCAGCCGCCGCGGUAA